rnacentral:rRNA from 1 species
UAUGGGUCUGAUUGCUAUUGCACCACAUGUGUUUUUCUUUGAAACAAACUUGCUUUGGCGGUGGGCCCAGCCUGCCGCCAGAGGUCUAAACUUACAACCAAUUUUUUAUCAACUUGUCACACCAGAUUAUUACUUAAUAGUCAAAACUUUCAACAACGGAUCUCUUGGUUCUCGCAUCGAUGAAGAACGCAGCGAAAUGCGAUACGUAAUAUGAAUUGCAGAUAUUCGUGAAUCAUCGAAUCUUUGAACGCACAUUGCGCCCUCUGGUAUUCCGGAGGGCAUGCCUGUUUGAGCGUCGUUUCUCCCUCAAACCGCUGGGUUUGGUGUUGAGCAAUACGACUUGGGUUUGCUUGAAAGACGGUAGUGGUAAGGCGGGAUCGCUUUGACAAUGGCUUAGGUCUAACCAAAAACAUUGCUUGCGGCGGUAACGUCUACCACGUAUAUCUUCAAACUUUGACCUCAAAUCAGGUAGGACUACCCGCUGAACUUAAGCAUAUCAAUAAGCGGAGGAA